CGAGGAAUUUUGCGCAAUGGGCGAAAGCCUGACGCAGCAACGCCGCGUGGGUGAGGAAGGCCUUCGGGUCGUAAAGCCCUUUUGUUGGGGACGAAGUGGUGACGGUACCCGACGAAGAAGCCACGGCUAACUACGUGCCAGCAGCCGCGGUAAUACGUAGGUGGCGAGCGUUGUCCGGAUUUAUUGGGCGUAAAGCGCGCGCAGGUGGUGUGGUCAGUCUGUCGUGAAAUCUCCCGGCUCAACUGGGAGGGUGCGGUGGAGACGGCCAGACUAGAGGCACUCAGAGGCCGGUGGAAUUCCCGGUGUAGUGGUGAAAUGCGUAGAGAUCGGGAGGAACACCAGUGGCGAAGGCGGCCGGCUGGGGGUGACCUGACGCUGAGGCGCGAAAGCGUGGGGAGCGAACCG
rnacentral:rRNA from 1 species